rnacentral:lncRNA from 1 species
GUUUGGGGCCCCCUUAUCUGGACACUAUAUUCCUAUGGAUGCAGCCUAGAAUCGCAUUAGCCUUUUUCGCUGCCGCAGCACACUCUUGGCUCAUGUUCAAGACUCCUAGAUCCCUUUUAAAUGGACCGUUAUCAAGCCAAGUGUCACCCAUCUUAUAUCUGCGCAAUAUCCUUCUUUAAAUUUUGGUGCCCAGAAUUGAACACAGGGAUUACCGUAUUUACUCGAGUAUAAGCCGACCCAAAUAUAAACUGAGGCACCUAAUUUUACCACAAAAAAACUGGGGGGGAAAUUGACUCAAGUAUAAGCCGAGGGUGGUAAAUUUCAGAAAUAAAAAUAGAUACCAAUAAAAUUACAUUAAUUGAAGAAUCAGUAGGUUAAAUGUUUUGGAAUAUUUACAUAAAGCUCAAAUUUAAGAUAAGACUGUUCAACUCUGAUCAAAUCAUUAUUCUCAUCUUCUUCAAUAUAAUGUACUUAUGUAUCCUUUUAAUAAUAAUAGAGUAAAACAAUACAUGUACAGUAGAGUCUCACUUAUCCAACAUAAAUGGGCCGGCAGAAUGUUGGAUAAGCGAAUAUGUUGGAUAAUAAGGAGAGAUUAAAAAAAACCCAUUAAAUAUCAAAAUAGGUUAUGAUUUUACAAAUUAAGCACCAAAACAUCAUGUUAUAGAGCAAAUUUGACAGAAAAAGUAGUUCAAUACGCAGUAAUGCUAUGUAGUAAUUACUGUAUUUACUAAUUUAGCACCAAAAUAUCAUGAUAUAUUGAAAACAUUGACUACAAAAAUGCGUUGGAUAAUCCAGAACGUUGGAUAAGCGAGUGUUGGAUAAGUGAGACUCUACUGUAUUUUUUAUUGGUAUCUAUUUUUAUUUCUGAAAUUUACUACCCUCGGCUUAUACUGAAGUCAAUGUUUUCCCAGGUUUUUUGUGGUAAAAUUAGGUGCCUCGGCUUAUCUUCGGGUCGGCUUAUACUCGAGUAUAUACGGUAUGUUAUAUUCUCAAGUAUAAGUCAACUCGAAUAUAAGCCAACCAGGACCCUCACCCGAGUAUAAGCUGAGGGGGGCUUUUUCAGUCUUAAAAAAAGGUUGAAAAACUAGGCUUAUACUUGAGUAUAUAUAGUCGUU